rnacentral:rRNA from 1 species
CGAGUGAAGCGGGAAAAGCUCAAAUUUAAAAUCUGGUUGUGGCAGUCCGAGUUGUAAUCUAGAGAAGUGCUACCCGCGCUGGACCGUGUACAAGUCUCCUGGAACGGAGCAUCAUAGAGGGUGAGAAUCCCGUCUUUGACACGGACUGCCAGGGCUAUGUGGUGCGCUCUCAACGAGUCGAGUUGUUUGGGAAUGCAGCUCAAAAUGGGUGGUAAAUUCCAUCUAAAGCUAAAUAUUGGCGAGAGACCGAUAGCGAACAAGUACCGUGAGGGAAAGAUGAAAAGAACUUUGGAAAGAGAGUUAAACAGUACGUGAAAUUGCUGAAAGGGAAACGCUUGAAGUCAGUCGCGCUGGCCAGGGAUCAACCUCGCUCUUUUGUGUGGUGCACUUUCUGGUCGGUGGGUCAGCAUCAGUUUUGGUUGCUGGAUAAAGGCCUUGGGAAUGUGGCAUCUUCGGAUGUGUUAUAGCCCUUGGUUGUAUACAGUGGCUGGGAUUGAGGAACUCAGCACGCCGCAAGGCCGGGUAUUAGCCACGUACGUGCUUGGGAUGCUGGCAUAAUGGCUUUAAUCGACCCGUCUUGAAACACGGACCAAGGAGUCUAACAUGCCUGCGAGUAUUUGGGUGGAAAACCCGAGUGCGCAAUGAAAGUGAAAGUUGAGAUCCCUGUCGUGGGGAGCAUCGACGCCCGGACCUGAGGCUUGCUGACGGUUCUGCGGUAGAGCAUGUAUGUUGGGACCCGAAAGAUGGUGAACUAUGCCUGAAUAGGGUGAAGCCAGAGGAAACUC